AUGCAAAGAACUUUGAAAAGAGAGUUAAAGAGUACCUGAAAUUGCUGAAAGGGAAGCGAAGGAAACCAGUGCCAGCUGAGUCAUAUUUCUCCCUCCACUUGUGGAGUGGGCGCUGUGUCUUGGCCUCUGUCAGGCUUGGUUGGGUUGGCUGGAAUUGUGCUAGGAGAGUUGAUCCUGGUGUGUCUGCAGCUGGCCCGACUGAGGUUGACAAAAUGGUUUUCUUUACCCCGUCUUGAAACACGGACCAAGGAGUCUAACAUAUGUGCGAGUGCAGGGGUGGCAAACCCCGGCGCGUAAUGAAAGUGACAGUGGUUGGACCUUUGUGGCACAAUCCGCCGGCCCUAAUUCUACGGAAGAAUGGUCUGAGUGUGAGCACACAUGUUGGGACCCGAAAGAUGUGUGAACUAUGCUUGAGUAGGGUGAAGCCAGGGGAAACUCUGGUGGAGGCUCGUAGCGAUUCUGACGUGCAAAUCGAUCGUCAAACUUGAGUAUAGGGGCGAAAGACUAAUCGAACCAUCUAGUAGCUGGUUCCCUCCGAAAUUUCCCUCAGGAUAGCUGCAAUCGAAUGUCAAUUUUAUCA
rnacentral:rRNA from 3 species